rnacentral:rRNA from 1 species
UUCCUACGGGGGGCAGCAGUCGGGAAUAUUGCGCAAUGGAGGAAACUCUGACGCAGUGACGCCGCGUGAGGGAAGAAGGUUUUCGGAUUGUAAACCUCUGUGGAGGGGGACGAUAAUGACGGUACCCCUUUAGGAAGCCACGGCUAACUACGUGCCAGCAGCCGCGGUAAUACGUAGGUGGCGAGCGUUGUCCGGAAUUACUGGGUGUAAAGGGAGUGUAGGCGGGAAAGCAAGUCAGAAGUGAAAACUAUGGGCUUAACCCAUAGCCUGCUUUUGAAACUGUUUUUCUUGAGUGAAGUAGAGGC